GACGAACGCUGGCGGCGUGCCUAAUACAUGCAAGUUGAGCGCUGAAGGUUGGUACUUGUACCAACUGGAUGAGCAGCGAACGGGUGAGUAACGCGUGGGGAAUCUGCCUUUGAGCGGGGGACAACAUUUGGAAACGAAUGCUAAUACCGCAUAAAAACUUUAAACACAAGUUUUAAAUUUGAAAGAUGCAAUUGCAUCACUCAAAGAUGAUCCCGCGUUGUAUUAGCUAGUUGGUGAGGUAAAGGCUCACCAAGGCGAUGAUACAUAGCCGACCUGAGAGGGUGAUCGGCCACAUUGGGACUGAGACACGGCCCAAACUCCUACGGGAGGCAGCAGUAGGGAAUCUUCGGCAAUGGACGAAAGUCUGACCGAGCAACGCCGCGGGAGUGAAGAAGGGUUUCGGAUCGUAAAACUCUGUUGGUAGAGAAGAACGUUGGUGAGAGUGGAAAGCUCAUCAAGUGACGGUAACUACCCAGAAAGGGACGGCUAACUACGUG
rnacentral:rRNA from 1 species